rfam:Eubacterium sp. CAG:180 genomic scaffold, scf38
GUCGGUGUUUAUUACGAUGAGGGUCCACCCGUUCCCAUUCCGAACACGGUAGUUAAGCUCAUUCGUGCCGAAAAUACUUGGCUGGAAGCGGCCCGGGAAAAUAGGUCGAUGCCGACA